UGUGCAGGUUAGCUGCAGCCCUGUCCUUUACUCCCUACAUGCCAGGAGCUCCUCUCCAGUUAUGGUAACAAAAGAUGGCUGCAAGCGUUGCCCACUGAGCCCUGGAGCAGGUGGGACAGCCAAAUUCUCUAGAUAGGAGCCAGUGUUUCCUGUCCCAGCAUUCCUCUGUGCAGGCUGGUCAGCUUCAGUCUGUAGUCUGUGCCACUAGCAUUAUUGUAAGAGAAGGUGACAUUUUACCAUCAUGGCUGGACCUGAUCAGGUCUGUUGCCCUUUUAUGCAAUGCUCAGUUUCAUGUUCCCCACACAGCCUUAGAAGCUCAGGCCUAGAAGCUGAAACUUCUGCCUGUAGGAUUUCAACUUGAGUUUCUUGUCCCCUGCUCAUGUUAGGACAAUGGUUGACCAGUUAAUCUACCUCUGUCACUGUCAACAAAAUCUAGCUUUUAUGAUAGAUUUUGUUCUGUCUCUAAAGCUUAAUAUUUGUAUUACACUUUAGAAAAUGUAUCACCCUGCACAGACUCUUUUGCAGGGUGUGUCAGUCAUUAAGUCUAGACUGUGUUGUAUUGAGUUGCUCGUGCCCAGAAGUUAGCUGAUGCAGAUGUCCAGUGCAACUGACCAGAAGGGUGCUGUCCCUCACCGCUCAGUUACUUGGAAUGCUUCCUGGGGCUGACCUAAAUGUGGCUCUGGAAUGGAAGUUUCUGGUUGAAUAGGUGUUUGUUGUUGAAUAGGUGUUUGUCAGGGGUCUGAAAACGAGGGAGCAUUGGAAAUAAAUCUGUCAUUGGCUCAGAGUUGGUGACAGAGAAAGCAGGGAGUCUUUUACCUGGGUUUUUCUUGAGGUCAAAACAAACAAACAAACAAAGCAGUUAGCCGGCCUAGACAGUUUGCAUGUAAUCAUUCACUUUGAAAAAUGGUUGAGGAGUUCUUGUCUCUGACUGAGGUAGCUGUUCCGAGUUCACUGAGACGGUAAACAGUAACGGCAAGGGGAGAAAACCUGUCCUUCCCACAGUCAGUCUCAGAUAUCCAUGUCCUUUGUGUGGGCCGAGAAUGAGUCUGUGACUAAUGAAGCAACAGCCGGGCAGCAGAGUCGGGUUGUGUGUGGCAGCCGACGAGGUCAUGGCCCUUUACCCUUCCUUACCCAGUGUGAACAGCUGCAUCAGUGAUCACUCAGCCUUCCGAGUUCCAUGUCUGUGUCCAUCACUAACUGUAAGCAAGGAAGCAGACAGGAAAAACUAUAGACUUUUAGCCUGAUAGAACACAGGAGAAGUCCUAAUCAGAUUCUCAUUGAUUUCCCAUAUUGGGCAGAUUAGAGGACCCAGACAACCAAUUAUGAUCUGACAAUUUUAACAAGAAGGAAGAGAGAAUAAACUAUUUUUAAAAUAGAUUUGCACUUUAAAAUUAUGAGUGUGGCUCAUAGGAACGCACACAGGAGUCCGGACUCAGACUUCAACCUUUGUCCACACACGCCCGUCUUCAUACUCACUUAGGAUUUUCUGCCUUUCUGAUUUGGGUUGUAUCCGAGGUCAUCCCUCUGGGAGGGUGUAAAUAGCUUUUCUAUUUAGAAUAGAAACUUUGGUUUGGUUUAGUUUGGUUUUGGUUGUUCAAGACAGGGUUUCCCAGGCAGUCUUGGGACUUACUCUGUAUGUAGACCAGGCUAGCAUCAAACACAGAGAUCCACCUGUCUCUGCCUCCCUAGUGCUGGAGUUAAAGACAUGUACCACUACCGCCUGGCCCAUAUCUAGAUUUAAAAUUUUCUUUUUAGUGUUGUCUACAUUACAUGGUAUGUCUCCAGUCAGUGGGAGACCCUGCCUAUGACGCUGUUGCCAAGUGGGACCACUCCUGCCAAUGGCCAGUGGAGAGCAGAAGGUACCCAGUCCACCUGCUUCUCUCAGGUUGUCGUUCAUGGCCAGGAGCAUCAUUCGCAAAGCUUUGACUUCUAGAUCCAUGUUCAUUCUGAAGAACGUUUUAACAUCUGUUAAUGCUUUGGUAAUAAUCUUUUCUACACAGGACUUUUGUAGCAUGACUUUAUGACUAAACUUAUUGUGCAUUAAAUUAUUUAGUAAUAUUGAGUUUCUGAAUGUUAUUUUGUGAAACUUGUUUUAAAAUAGUAAUAAAUCAUGUUAUUUUAUAAAAAAAAAGAAGUCCUUUGGUUACUGUAUUCUAGUUAAUAUUAGAGUAACUUUCAUGAUAUUUGAUUUCUAAAGCAAUUCAGCUUUUGAAUAGUAGAAUCCAUGCAUGUGGUGAGAGGGCCAGGGAGGAGAGAAAGGGAGAGCAACCAGGGUGCAAAGACCCUUAACUCGUAUUGAUUGAUGAUUGAUUGAUUGAUUGAUUGAUUGACUGACUGACUGACUGACUGACUGACUGACUGACUGACUGACUGACUGACUGAGGCGAGGUCUCAGGUGUAGCCCUAGUUGUCGUAGAACUCACUCUGUAGACAAGGCUGUUCACAAACACAGAGAUCUGCCUGCCUCUGCCUCUGCCUCUGCCUCUGCCUCUGCCUCCCAAGUGCUUGGAUUAAAGGUGUGCACAGCACACAGCUGAAUCAGUCUCUGCUAAUUUCUUCCUCACUUAGCACUGGUGAGCAUGUCCUUUGCUGACUUUCUAACUCACCCACCAUUAUGUGUCCACUGGAAAGAGGAUUCCCACGGUCAGCAAGCUUGCCUGCCCAUGAUCAUCCCUAGUAAAGGUUAGCCGAGAGACCCCUGAGAAACAGGGUAACCCCACAGGAUCAGGAGCACCAUACAUUUGCCAGUGUACAGUCUGUGCUGUCAGUCAAAAUGUACUUUAGUUACAGAAUAAAACCGCCAUGCAGUUUCU
rnacentral:lncRNA from 1 species